UCAAGUUAUUAAGGGUGCAGGGCGGAUGCCUUGGCACUAGGAGCCGAUGAAGGACGUGAUAAGCUGCGAUAAGCUUCGGGGAGUUGCACGUAAACUUUGAUCCGAAGAUUUCCGAAUGAGGAAACUCACUUAGAGUAAUGUCUAAGUAUCAUUAAGUGAAUACAUAGCUUAAUGAGGGGAACUCAGGGAACUGAAACAUCUAAGUACCUGAAGGAAGAGAAAGAAAUUCGAUUCCGUAAGUAGCGGCGAGCGAACGCGGAUUAGCCCAAACCAAUAAAGUUUUCUUUGUUGGGGUUGCGGACAUAUCAUAACGAAGAGGUAUCGUAAUUGAAGAGGUUUGGAAAGACCCACCACAGAAGGUAAUAGUCCUGUAUGUUAAACGAGAAGACUUUAGAUAUGAUCCAGAGUACCACGGGACACGUGAAACCCUGUGGGAAGCAGGAGGGACCACCCUCCAAGGCUAAAUACUACCUAGUGACCGAUAGCGUAUAGUACCGUGAGGGAAAGGUGAAAAGAACCCCGGGAGGGGAGUGAAAUAGAACCUGAAACCCUGCACUUACAAGCUGUGGAAGCACAUUUCUUGUGUGACCGCGUACUUUUUGUAGAACGGGCCAACGAGUUACGUUAAGUAGCAAGGUUAAGCACUUAAGGUGUGGAGCCGUAGCGAAAGCGAGUUUUAACUGAGCGUUCAGUUACUUGACGUAGACCCGAAACCGGGCGACCUACCCAUGAGCAGGAUGAAGCGAAAGUAAAAUUUCGUGGAGGUCCGAACCCACGAGCGUUGAAAAGCUCGGGGAUGACUUGUGGGUAGCGGUGAAAUUCCAAUCGAGCCCGGAGAUAGCUGGUUCUCCCCGAAAUAGCUUUAGGGCUAGCCUCAAGGUGAGAGAUACGGAGGUAGAGCACUGAAUGUCCUAGGGGGUAUUGCACCUACCGAAGACUAUCAAACUCCGAAUGCCGUCAUCUUAUACUUGGGAGUCAGACUGUGGGUGAUAAGAUUCAUAGUCGAAAGGGCAACAGCCCAGAUCGUCAGCUAAGGUCCCUAAAUGUAAGUUAAGUGGUAAAGGAUGUGGGAUUGCACAGACAACCAGGAUGUUGGCUUAGAAGCAGCCACUCAUUCAAAGAGUGCGUAAUAGCUCACUGGUCGAGUGAUCCUGCGCCGAAGAUUUCCGGGGCUAAAACUUACUACCGAAGCUACGGCAUCAGUAAUGAUGGGUAGGGGAGCUUCCCAUACGGGUUGAAGCAUGACCGUAAGGACAUGUGGACAGUAUGGGAGUGAGAAUGUUGGCAUGAGUAGCGAGAUGUGGGUGAGAAUCCCACAGGCCGUAAACCCAAGGUUUCCAGGGGAAGGUUCGUCCGCCCUGGGUUAGUCGGGACCUAAGCUGAGGCCGAAAGGCGUAGGUGAUGGACAACAGGUUGAUAUUCCUGUACUACCGAUAACCGUUUGAGAGAAGGGAUGACACAGUAGGAUAAGCUAAGCACACUGUUGGUUAUGUGUGCCCAAGCAUUGAGGCAGUCAAAGUAGGUAAAUCCGCUUUGAUAAUGCUGGGAUGUGAUGGGGAGCGAAAUUUAGUAGCGAAGUAGCUGAUUUCACACUGUCAAGAAAAGUCUCUAUCGAGGUUAAAGGUACCCGUACCGCAAACCGACACAGGUGGGUGAGGAGAGUAUCCUAAGGCCAGCGAGAGAACUGUUGUUAAGGAACUCGGCAAAAUGACCCCGUAACUUAGGGAUAAGGGGUGCCACCAUCAGGUGGCCGCAGAGAAUAGGCCCAAGCGACUGUUUACCAAAAACAUAGGUUUCUGCUAAGUCGCAAGACGAUGUAUAGGAGCUGACGCCUGCCCGGUGCUGGAAGGUUAAGGGGAUCUGUUAGAGCAAUCGAAGCAGUGAACUUAAGCCCCAGUAAACGGCGGCCGUAACUAUAACGGUCCUAAGGUAGCGAAAUUCCUUGUCGGGUAAGUUCCGACCCGCACGAAAGGCGUAACGAUUUGGGCACUGUCUCAACAACAGACUCGGUGAAAUUGUAAUUCCGGUGAAGAUGCCGGAUACCUGCGACAGGACGGAAAGACCCCAUGGAGCUUUACUGUAGCUUGACAUUGGGUCUUGGUACUACAUGUACAGGAUAGGUGGGAGGCUUUGAAACCAGGACGCCAGUUUUGGCGGAGCCAUCCUUGGGAUACCACCCUUGUAGUACUGGGACUCUAACCAUAGGCCAUGAAUCUGGUCUUGGGACACUGUCAGGUGGGCAGUUUGACUGGGGCGGUCGCCUCCCAAAAGGUAACGGAGGCGCUCAAAGGUUCUCUCAGUACGGUCGGAAAUCGUACGUAGAGUGUAAAGGCAAAAGAGAGCUUGAUUGCAAGACAUACAGGUCGAGCAAGGAUGAAAAUCGGACUUAGUGAUCCGGUGGUUCUGCGUGGAAGGGCCAUCGCUCAACGGAUAAAAGCUACCCUGGGGAUAACAGGCUUAUCUCCCCCAAGAGUCCACAUCGACGGGGAGGUUUGGCACCUCGAUGUCGGCUCAUCACAUCCUGGGGCUGUAGUAGGUCCCAAGGGUUGGGCUGUUCGCCCAUUAAAGUGGUACGCGAGCUGGGUUCAGAACGUCGUGAGACAGUUCGGUCCCUAUCCGUCGCAGGCGUAGGAAAUUUGAGAAGACCUGUCCUUAGUACGAGAGGACCGGGAUGGACGUACCUCUGGUGUACCAGUUGUUCUGCCAAGGGCAUGGCUGGGUAGCUAUGUACGGAAUGGAUAAGCGCUGAAAGCAUCUAAGCGCGAAGCCAACUUCAAGAUAAGAUUUCCCACCGCAAGGGUAAGACCCCAGAAAGACUAUCUGGUUGAUAGGUCGAAGGUGUAAGUGCAGCAAUGUAUUUAGCUUAUCGAUACUAAUAGGUCGAGGACUUGACCAA
rnacentral:rRNA from 1 species